rnacentral:rRNA from 1 species
AAUAGAUACCCCGGUAGUCCACGCCGUAAACGAUGAGUGCUAAGUGUUGGGGGGUUUCCGCCCCUCAGUGCUGCAGCUAACGCAUUAAGCACUCCGCCUGGGGAGUACGGUCGCAAGACUGAAACUCAAAGGAAUUGACGGGGGCCCGCACAAGCGGUGGAGCAUGUGGUUUAAUUCGAAGCAACGCGAAGAACCUUACCAGGUCUUGACAUCCCGGUGACCACUAUGGAGACAUAGUUUCCCCUUCGGGGGCAACGGUGACAGGUGGUGCAUGGUUGUCGUCAGCUCGUGUCGUGAGAUGUUGGGUUAAGUCCCGCAACGAGCGCAACCCUUAUUCUUAGUUGCCAUCAUUUAGUUGGGCACUCUAAGGAGACUGCCGGUGAUAAACCGGAGGAAGGUGGGGAUGACGUCAAAUCAUCAUGCCCCUUAUGACCUGGGCUACACACGUGCUACAAUGGACGGUACAAACGGUUGUCAACCCGCGAGGGGAGCUAAUCCGAUAAAACCGUUCUCAGUUCGGAUUGUAGGCUGCAACUCGCCUACAUGAAGGACC